GGGGUUGUGGCUCACUGGUAGAACGCUUGCCUAGCAUGCAUGAGGCACUGGGUUCAAUUCUCAGCACCA
rnacentral:tRNA from 1 species